CGGUUUCGCUGCGACAACUCCUCCCAGACGUCGCAGUGGAUCGGCCGAAGGUUCCUCCCACCUGAGGCCACCCAUACGCCCCCGCCGGUCCUCCCCCGGCGGGGGCGUUUC
rnacentral:sRNA from 1 species